CCCAUAGUUUAAUAUAGCUGCUCUGGGCUCAUACACCCAUGUGGAAUGUGAUAAAUUCUGUUGAACACUUGUUACAGAGACACUCAAGUAGAUUCAGAGCCAAGUGGGCACACCUAGCCCAUAAGCAUCUGUUAACACUUUCCUGUUCACAUCCUGCCUGUGCCUGAAAAGCUCUGAGUGCCCAGCAGAUGUUACUACAAGUCUAGGAGGGCUGUGGGGUGGUGGUCUUUAUCAGGUCAAUGAUCCAUGAUUUGCACUAAUAAGACAUUAGCAGUACAAAGAAUGACUGAAAAAUCAUGGAGAAUGGCUUGGGGAUGUUUGUUUGUUUUUUUUUUUUUUCACAGUCUUAUCUUCUUGAACUUUUGCUGGGACUGGUUUAUGUUGUCUGUUGACAUUCCAGUUCCUGAGUAAGACUCGGAAUUAGCCUGUGCAUUUGGGUUUCAGUUUCUUAUAGUAACAAUUAAUUGGAUCAUGGUUUUUGGUGCUCCUUCUUCCAAGGUGGGGAGUGGGUAGGGUUGCUGAUUCUAGGGCAGCAGUCCUCAGUGAAGGGGUUUUGUCCUGCAGCAGGUGUCUGGCAAUGUUUCCAUUCUUCUGGUUGUCACGACUUGCGGGUGCUUCAGGCAUCUAGUGGGUUGAGGCUGGGGAUCCAGCUAAACAUUCAACAAUUCACGGGACCACCACAGAGAAUGAUCCAGCCCCAAAUGGCAGUUGUGCUGAGGUUAGAAACCCUGGCUUAAGGGACUGCAAAGGUAGCUCCUGUGUUUGGAGACUAGAAGCAGGUGGGAUUAGAGAUCAUUUGUGAACCAUCCAGAGUUGAUUGCAUUUCAAAGUGAGAUAGGGGCCCAAAUGCUGAUUUUCCCCUGAAAGUUGAUUUGCAUCUUGCGUCCUGUGUUCAAUGGCUGGUGCUGCAAUGAUGUCAUCACCACCGUGAGAUCCACAGGGUGUGGCAGAGGACACGUCAGGAGUCCAGUGAAUCUGGCCAAGAACUAACUGCAAGCCAGGAUCGCAGCCGCUAGCAGCACUGCAGUCUGGAGCCGGGGGCUAGAAAUGCUCACUCCUUUGGGAAUGAGAGGAGCACAAGUGCCAAGGUUGGCAAUGCAGACAUCAAGACAGAAGAACAUGCUUUGCCCUUUAAAAGCUUCUUGUUCCCUGGAGAGACCAGUGAUGUGUCUGAGCAUGGAGAAGACACAGCGGGGCUGAGUCACUAAUGCUGGAUACACCCAAAGUCAAGAAAAAAAAUAGUUACAUUUGGUCUGAGGACAACUAUGUCCUGAAUAAGGUGGUAAGAAGUCUGGACUCAUGAGACACACUUGCAUGUCUCAUUUGAAGGAGCAGUUUCUCCAGUUUGUACCCACAGUAUAGGUCAGUGCUGACCUGUCUCCAGCUCCUGGACUGACGCAAUCUUCAGAAACAGAAGCUGGAGGCCAGAGGAGGAACCAAAUGGGAGAGGCCACAUGCUCCAACGAUGCAAAUGGUAUUACUGAGAAAGAAUGUUCAUGAUGGUUACCAGCCACUGAGUGCAAAAUUGUGUGAUCUCAUCUCACUCCUAGAACAACCCAUGGGGUAGGUACAUUUUUGGCGAUACAGACACCAAAGCAUUGGUGUCAAAGUGACUUACUCAUCUCAGUGGCAGCUCUAGAAUCAGUUCACACCUUAAUGACAAAGUGCCCCGUUUUUGGUUUCCGGUUGCCUGCCUCUCAGAUAAGCAUAGCACUCUGUUGUGUGGGAUGGAUAUGGCAUUCUCCUUAAUGGCACUGUUCAUGGCACUGAGGUCUUCAGAAUACACUCUUGAUGGCCACCAGCAAACAGGUUUCAUGCUGGCAGGAUGCUAUCAAAGGCUGGACAGACUAUAGCCAGAGA
ensembl:lncRNA